AACGUAGGACGCGAGCGUUAUCCGGAGUUACUGGGCGUAAAGCGCGGGCAGGCGGUCUGACAAGUCUGAUGUGAAAUCUCCGGGCUUAACCGGGAGAGGCCAUUGGAAACUGACAGGCUGGAGGGCAGUAGAGGUAGGCGGAAUUCCGGGUGGAGUGGUGAAAUGCGUAGAGAUCCGGAGGAACACCAGAGGCGAAGGCGGCCUACUGGGCUGCACCUGACGCUGAGGCGCGACAGCGUGGGGAGCAAACAGG
rnacentral:rRNA from 1 species